rnacentral:rRNA from 1 species
UACGGAGGGUGCGAGCGUUGUCCGGAAUCAUUGGGCGUAAAGGGCGCGUAGGCGGCGGGACAAGCGUGCGGUGAAAGCCUGGGGCUCAACCCCGGGUCGGCCGUGCGAACUGUUUUGCUUGAGCACUGUAGAGGCAGGCGGAAGUCCGGGUGUAGCGGUGGAAUGCGUAGAGAUCCGGAAGAACACCGGUGGCGAAGGCGGCCUGCUGGGCAGUAGCUGACACUGAGGCGCGACAGCGUGGGGAGCAAACAGG